AACGGCCAUACCAUGCUGAAUAUACCGGUUCUCGUUAGAUCACCGAAGUCAAGCAUCAUUGGGCGCGGUCAGUACUUGGGCGGGUGACCACCUGGGAACACCGCGUGCCGU
rnacentral:rRNA from 1 species